UGUGUCUCCCUGGUUAUAUGUAAUGUUUAUGACCCCACUGUGCCUUGUCUGUCUGUACAUUCCAAAAUUGGCCUCUGUUUACUUCAUAGAUAAAAUUUUUGAAACUGAUACACAAUGCGCAUUACUCCCAAACGCAGAUCACAUUUGAAAUUUGGGUGGUGUCGCUUUCACUGUUCUUGAGUUAUGUCCCUUUAUACAUGGAACCAGGUGCUCCGCAGGGCGCAGCUUUAUACGACCGCAGAGGUCGAACCCUGAACAGUUGGGGCAAGUAUGGACAAAACAUUCAAGCGUGAUACAGCUCUGAAUUUGGAUUGUGAUCAAAUUUUUGACAUUACAUGUUUUUUUUUACACAAAACAAAUGUCAUGAUUUUACAAAUCAAUUAAAGAUUUCUUCUUAUUUAAAUCUAAAAUUAAAUAGUUGACACAGCAUAGGUUUCUGACACAGAAUGAAUGUGGUCUAAUGAACUUAAAAGUUUUUUUUUGCCUUUGAGCAAUUGACUAUGCUGUUGAAUAUUAAUCCUCUCAAAAAAAUGUUUGAAGAAAUUUUCUUUUUAUUUAUGAAAUCUGAAAUGAGAAAAAUUUAACCCCCCCCCCCCUUUUUUUCACAUCCCCGUUUCCCUUUUUCCAAAACUGAUAUCAAUUCAAAUUUCUAAUGGAGUUUGCAACAAUAACUACUCUUUUAAAUACAUCAUAAAAUAUUAAAAUGUAAAAUAAAGUGCUUGUUAUCACUGAAUGGUAAAGAUUGGUUGGUAGUAAAAGUGAAUAUACAUUGUUUAUUGUAUAAAACAAUAAAAAAAAACUUC
rnacentral:lncRNA from 1 species